AGAGUUUGAUCCUGGCUCAGGAUGCUCGCUGGCGGCGUGCUUAACACAUGCAAGUCGAGCGAAGCACUUUGGAAAGAUUCUUCGGAUGAUUUCCUUUGUGACUGAGCGGCGGACGGGUGAGUAACGCGUGGGUGACCUGCCUCAUACAGGGGGAUAACAGUUAGAAAUGACUGCUAAUACCGCAUAAGACCACGGUACCGCAUGGGUACAGUGGUAAAAAACUCCGGUGGUAUGAGAUGGACCCGCGCCUGAUUAGGUAGUUGGUGGGGGUAACGGCCUACCAAGCCGACGAUCAGUAGCCGACCUGAGAGGGUGACCGGCCACAUUGGGACUGAGACACGGCCCAGACUCCUACGGGAGGCAGCAGUGGGGAAUAUUGCACAAUGGAGGAAACUCUGAUGCAGCGACGCCGCGUGAAGGAUGAAGUAUUUCGGUAUGUAAACUUCUAUCAGCAGGGAAGAAAAUGACGGUACCUGACUAAGAAGCCCCGGCUAACUACGUGCCAGCAGCCGCGGUAAUACGUAGGGGGCAAGCGUUAUCCGGAUUUACUGGGUGUAAAGGGAGCGUAGACGGAAUGGCAAGUCUGAUGUGAAAGGCCGGGGCUCAACCCCGGGACUGCAUUGGAAACUGUCAAUCUAGAGUACCGGAGGGGUAAGUGGAAUUCCUAGUGUAGCGGUGAAAUGCGUAGAUAUUAGGAGGAACACCAGUGGCGAAGGCGGCUUACUGGACGGUAACUGACGUUGAGGCUCGAAAGCGUGGGGAGCAAACAGAAAGAGAUACCCUGGUAGUCCACGCCGUAAACG
rnacentral:rRNA from 1 species